rnacentral:rRNA from 1 species
UACGUAGGGGGCUAGCGUUGUCCGGAAUCAUUGGGCGUAAAGAGCGUGUAAGGCGGCUUGGUAAGUCCGCUGUGAAAGUCCAGGGCUCAACCCUGGAAUGCCAGUGGAUACUGUCAAGCUAGAGUCCGGAAGAGGCGAGUGGAAUUCCUGGUGUAGCGGUGAAAUGCGCAGACUAUCAGGAGGAACACCGAUGGCGAAGGCAGCCCCCUGGCCAACACUGACGCUCAGGCACGAAAGCGAUGGGGAGCAAACAGG